rnacentral:misc_RNA from 1 species
UUAUUACAAAUACAUUUGAGUUGUGUUAAACCCAUGGGUUUCCCCAUAAGGGAAAGGUUGUAAAGGAACGCCACGUGAAAUGAAAUCGCACUCCCUGUAGGGAAAAAUUGGGAAAGAAGUUGGCAUGGUACCGACCGCCAAGGCGACCGCGGAAAUUAGAUUGGCGGAUAGUCCCCCUCCUUUAAAGGGAAACCUGGGAUAAAGGUGGACAAGAGUUCAUUUUUACUUCUACUAUGCCAAGGUUAAUGCCCUAAACCAUGGGGACCUUGUUAUAUUUCUAUCUCCCAUCCUUUCCAGUCACUCUUUACUCGUUAAGGAUUAAUUUGCAAUUGAUAAAAAUGGUAGUAAAAUCUGGUGGAGCAUGAUAAAAUCAAAAAAUGUUGGUGAUAACCGCAUAGUUUGAUUGAGCAUAUGGCCUUAAGGGAUAAAGGACCCGGCGAUGUGCCGGGUUUUUUUGUGUCUUGAGAGAUUGGGUGUUGAGGAGUGGCUGGUAGCGAAAGUUAGUAGUCACUUUUCAGCGAGCAAUCGUUGAGGUAGCACGUUAAAAACUGAAUAGAACGAGUGUAGUUCAAUGAACCAAAGCGAACACGUGUGAUUAAGCUACAAAGGGUGCACGGGGGAUGCCUUGGCGUCAAGAGCCGACGAAGGACGUGGUUGACUGCGAAAAGCUCCGGGGAACCGUCAGCAGGUGCUAUAUCCGGAGAUGUCCGAAUGGGGAAACCCGA